AUAAAAAUUAGGAUUAGAAUUUGUGGCCAUUGAUUGUUUUUGAUCUUGUGGCCUAAGAUUAAUCUUCUCCAUCUAUGCUUUCUACUCUCUCUUUGAAUCGUGAAACCUAAAAUCACGAAGUCUUCAGAUCUACACACAGAGCUUGACUGGGUUCAACCCUCUGUCUCUGUAUCUCUAUCUCUCUCACUCGGCCAUGAUGAAAGCUUCGACAAGGCUUGACUCUAGUCAUAAGCAGAGGAGGAGAAGAGGCUCGCCGGAGAUGAAUAAAGGGGAAAGUCUCAGCCUCUCUUUGCCAUGAACCUCGCCGGUCAAGCGCGCUCUCUCUCUCUCUCUCUCUCUCUCUCUCUCACUCAUUUUGUUUUGAUUUUGGUACAGGAAGGUGGGUCGCGAGCUUGAAGGUGGCGGUGACAAGGCGGGGCAAGGCGGCAGCUGCGAAUCCCUCGUUUCUGGGACUAUUGAUUCAGUUGCUCCAAGAGAACUCAUGCAACAGCAGAUUUGAGUGGUGCUAUUGAGGCAGGAAACAAGGAGGACUUUGAGAAGUACAGCAAACGAACUGUGAAGACUCAAAGUUUCUCUGUCAACAGCCUCGUUCUACUCCUUUCCUCUCAUGUGGGCAGUGGAGUGUCUCUAUGUGGGAAGUUACCUCUCUUGCAGAAUUCCAGCGAUCUUAGGAUUGUUUUGUAGGUUGAAGAUGAAGUCCCUAGACUCAGCAAUUGUUUUGGUUUGUGUAUUUGGAUGAUUCUAUUUUGUAGGUUGAAGAUGAAGUCCCUAGACUAAGCAAUUGUACAAUCUGUUUUGUACCUAUUUAGAAACUUGGAGAGAUGGUUCUGAUAAUAUAUGGAAAUGUUAUAUGAUAAAAAGAAAAUCUAAUACUAAUAACAAAAUUAGAAAGAAAAAAACAAAAAUAAUAUUUUUACCUUAAAAUCUAAAUUCUAAACAUGUCCUAAACUCUAAUAUCUAACACUUAUUAUAAAUUUCAAAAUGAACAUUUUAAAUUCAAAUACUAAAUUUAGAUUUCUAAUGUAAUAGUAUUUUUAACUUCCAAAACACAAAUCUUAAAUUAUUGUUCAAAAAUUAAAUUAUUGUUUAUAUUUACAAAGUACCUAUUAAAUUUCGAUCUAUAAAAAAAAUUGUUUGUAUUUUGUAAUUAAAAAAAACAAAAAACAAAACCCUAAACUAAACAUGUUUUUAUGUAAACAUAUUUUUCAUAAUAGUUUUAAUCUUAAACUUAAAUUAAAAAUUUCAUCAUUUUAAAAAUCUAUAAAAAAUUUUUUUGCUUAUUUGUAUUUUUUUAAUUAAAAAAGCCAAAACCCUAAACCCUAAACAUGUUAUAAAAUUCUAAACAUAAUUUUCAAUUUUCAAUUUUUCAUAAUAUAAUUUUAAUCUUAAACUUAAAUUCAAAAUUUAAUCAUUUUAAAAUCUAAUCUCAAAUUAAAGAUCAAAACCUCAAGUUUAGGACAUCUACGAGAGACGAAAACAGAAAUCCAAUGUCAAGAUUACACAUGUUAAGUUUGGAUUGUUCUUUUAAGAUGUAUUCUCAGGUUUGAUUAUUGAAUUACUUGUUCUGUUCUGAGACUUGCAUUUGAUUCUUAACGCAGAGAAAGGAAGCAAUGAUGAUACUAGUCGGAGGAGAGAAAUAGAAGGAGAGUCGGAGUAGACUCGUUGGUGUGAGUCCGAGAGAGAGACUUCGAGAGGGAGAGAGUUUUGAUUUUUUUUUCUAAGUGUUUAGGCUUGUUAGUGUUUUGUGGGAUGUUUUGUGCUUUAAUGAUAAAUUUUGGCUAAAAAUGAAUUGGAGCCAAAACCCCAAAAUAUUAUUGGAGCCAAAUCUAUUUUUUUUAUUUAUCAAAUUGGAGCCAAAUCUUAUGGAGGGAAAUAUAACUGGAACAAAAUAUUAUUCUCUUGUAAUCCCUAAAACUAUAGAUUUUCAUAUUUUAAAGUGUAACCCCUGAAACUAUAACCCUGAAGAUAGUCAUCCUUGUCUUUCUUGAUAGACCAAUGAUAACAUUUCUUCAUUUUUUAAUCAUUAAUUGAUUGUACCUUUUUUAAUCAAUUUUUACAUGUAUUAUAAUUAUAUUAUAGUUUGAGUUUAAGUUUAAAAUUUAAAUAUAAGUUUAAUGAUCAGAUUUAUAGCUUGGAGAAUAAAACUAGAGAUUUAGGGUAUAUGGUAUGGAAUAUAGGGUUUGGGUUUAAGAAUGAGAUAUAUAUAUAUAUCAUUUUAUUUUAACUUUGUCUAUCUAGAUUUAGAAUAGAAUAUAGGGUUUGAGUUUAAGAGCUUAAUUAGGUUGAAUUAGGGAUUUUAAUCUCAGAUAUUAAAUCUAAACCUCAUACCCUAAACUAGACACAUAUAUAUAUCAUAACUCUAAAUUAAUCACAUUCUAAUAUAACUUCAAUUUUAAACUUAAAAUCAAAAUUCAAUCAUAUUGUUUAUUGCAAAAUAAUUUUAUAUAAUUUAUAUGUUUGAGUGUAAACUAAAGGAUAUAUAUGUAUAGUAGCUUAGGGGUUUAUACGUUACACCUCGAACCCUAACAUUACACUUCAAACCGUAAACUCUACAUCCAAAUCUUAAUACAAACUAUCAUAUUAUUAUUUUCAAACAAUAAUCUCAAAUCUUAUCAUAACUCUAAAUAUCAUACGUUUAAAUUCAUAAACUAAACUUCAAAUCUAAUAUUCUUUUCUUAGAUCUUAAAUCUUAAAACUAGCUUUACACUCAAAUUUAUACACAAUUUCAAAAAUUUUAAACUUAAAAUUUAAAUUAUAAAUAAACUACAAAAUAUAAAUUUUGAAUAAAACAUUAAUUUUAAAAAUGUAAAUACAAAAAAAAAUCAUCAAAUAAUGAAAUACAAGACACAAAAAAAUAAAAAAGAAAGACAAAGCUCUGUUGCCCAAUUAGAUCUAUAUACACGGAUCACCUUCUAAGACGUUGGAUUAUAAUACAUCAAAGGCUGAGAUUUAAUUUUUUUUUUUCUCCUCACAGGCUCCCCCUCUCUCUGCGGAUCAUUCUUCUUUUUUUUCUUCUUCUUUUCAUCUUCUCUGCUGUCAUCUUUCCCACCGAUUUUGAAGCCUCGAUUUCGUGUCCACGGCCCUGUUAUCUUCCUCAAGCCUCGAUUUCAUCUCUACCGAUGACGCCGAGAUCUAGUUCUGCCAAUACACAAAGCUGUUCAACUUCCCUCUCAAAGUUUCCCUUUUGGAUUUGUCUCUAAGUUCUUCGCAAAGGCAAGACUUGGAUUUGCCUCAAAACUGACUCGAUUUAUGUUUCUCUUUUGCUGAACUUCUUGAUUUCAACAACCUGAUGAAAAACCUGGUUAUAAAGUUGGUUCAUUUGUCUUAUACUUUCGUUGAAAUGAGACAAGACCUGACUGGUUUUCUUAAGGAGAAGAAAAUGGAGAUGCGUCGGAGAAGACUGGUUUUAAGCUCGCCGCCAGCAUGAUGAAGAUCAGGUUCUCAAUCGGACUCGGAUUAGGCAUCGCUGCUCUCCUUCUUGUUGGCCUCUUCUUUCUUCCUCAGUCUUUGGAUUCUCAUGGACAUUGACAGAAGCCGAGGAGCCAGAAGAUAUCUUUCAGGUCGAUAAAGGCAAAGCUUCAUGGAGAUCUAGAGGCUAAGUCCCUUGGUGCUCCUGGAACCUGUGUUGCUGAAUUGGUAUUUAACACUUCCUUGACAGGUUAGAGGCGUGGAUCUUAGAUGGAGUUGGAGUCGAGCAAGAUGGAAGAGAGGAGAUGGAGUUGGUUCAGAAGCUAGAAAAGAGAGAUAGAUGAGAAGCUUGAUGGUGGUGGAAGACCAGAAAUGUUAGGGAUGACUGUAAAGGAUUAUUAGUGGUAGAUUGAGACUAUGUUUGUUAGGUUUUGAUGGUUUAAGUAAACAAGGAUAUGUUUUAUGGUUUUGUAAACAUUUUCUUUUUUAGUUUUUAUAAUAUGAUUAAUUAUUUUAA